rnacentral:rRNA from 1 species
GAUGAACGCUGGCGGCGUGCCUAAUACAUGCAAGUCGAGCGAACGGACGAGAAGCUUGCUUCUCUGAUGUUAGCGGCGGACGGGUGAGUAACACGUGGAUAAUCUACCUAUAAGACUGGGAUAACUUCGGGAAACCGGAGCUAAUACCGGAUAAUAUUUUGAACCGCAUGGUUCAAAAGUGAAAGACGGUCUUGCUGUCACUUAUAGAUGGAUCCGCGCUGCAUUAGCUAGUUGGUAAGGUAACGGCUUACCAAGGCAACGAUGCAUAGCCGACCUGAGAGGGUGAUCGGCCACACUGGAACUGAGACACGGUCCAGACUCCUACGGGAGGCAGCAGUAGGGAAUCUUCCGCAAAGGGCGAAAGCCUGACGGAGCAACGCCGCGUGAGUGAUGAAGGUCUUCGGAUCGUAAAACUCUGUUAUUAGGGAAGAACAUAUGUGUAAGUAACUGUGCACAUCUUGACGGUACCUAAUCAGAAAGCCACGGCUAACUACGUG